CCCCUCUCAGGGUCACACUUGGAGAGUUUCCACUACUCUUCCAGUCUUGACUAUAGGAGGGAGUCAGGCAGAGGAAUAUCCAUUCCAUUCCUAGCUUAGGCAGUAGGUAGCAAGUGGAAGGCAAUCUGCUACAAGU